rnacentral:rRNA from 1 species
CCUACGGGUGGCUGCAGUGGGGAAUAUUGGACAAUGGGGGCAACCCUGAUCCAGCCAUGCCGCGUGUGUGAAGAAGGCCCUCGGGUUGUAAAGCACUUUCAGUGAGGAAGAACGCCUGGUGGUUAAUACCCAUCAGGAAAGACAUCACUCACAGAAGAAGCACCGGCUAACUCCGUGCCAGCAGCCGCGGUAAUACGGAGGGUGCGAGCGUUAAUCGGAAUUACUGGGCGUAAAGCGCGCGUAGGUGGCUUGAUAAGCCGGUUGUGAAAGCCCCGGGCUCAACCUGGGAACGGCAUCCGGAACUGUCAAGCUAGAGUGCAGGAGAGGAAGGUAGAAUUCCCGGGGUAGCGGUGAAAUGCGUAGAGAUCGGGAGGAAUACCAGUGGCGAAGGCGGCCUUCCGGACUGACACUGACACUGAGGUGCGAAAGCGUGGGUAGCAAACAGGAUUAGAUACCCCAGUAGUC